rnacentral:rRNA from 1 species
AACGGACGAGAAGCUUGCUUCUCUGAUGUUAGCGGCGGACGGGUGAGUAACACGUGGAUAACCUACCUAUAAGACUGGGAUAACUUCGGGAAACCGGAGCUAAUACCGGAUAAUAUUUUGAACCGCAUGGUUCAAAAGUAAAAGACGGUCUUGCUGUCACUUAUAGAUGGAUCCGCGCUGCAUUAGCUAGUUGGUAAGGUAACGGCUUACCAAGGCAACGAUGCAUAGCCGACCUGAGAGGGUGAUCGGCCACACUGGAACUGAGACACGGUCCAGACUCCUACGGGAGGCAGCAGUAGGGAAUCUUCCGCAAUGGGCGAAAGCCUGACGGAGCAACGCCGCGUGAGUGAUGAAGGUCUUCGGAUCGUAAAACUCUGUUAUUAGGGAAGAACAUAUGUGUAAGUAACUGUGCACAUCUUGACGGUACCUAAUCAGAAAGCCACGGCUAACUACGUGCCAGCAGCCGCGGUAAUACGUAGGUGGCAAGCGUUAUCCGGAAUUAUUGGGCGUAAAGCGCGCGUAGGCGGUUUUUUAAGUCUGAUGUGAAAGCCCACGGCUCAACCGUGGAGGGUCAUUGGAAACUGGAAAACUUGAGUGCAGAAGAGGAAAGUGGAAUUCCAUGUGUAGCGGUGAAAUGCGCAGAGAUAUGGAGGAACACCAGUGGCGAAGGCG